CCUACGAGGAGCUGCAGUGAGGAAUAUUGGUCAAUGGACGCAAGUCUGAACCAGCCAUGCCGCGUGCAGGAAGACGGCUCUAUGAGUUGUAAACUGCUUUUGUACGCGGGUAAACGCAGAUACGCGUAUCUGUCUGAAAGUAUCGUACGAAUAAGGAUCGGCUAACUCCGUGCCAGCAGCCGCGGUAAUACGGAGGAUUCAAGCGUUAUCCGGAUUUAUUGGGUUUAAAGGGUGCGUAGGCGGUCGGAUAAGUUAGAGGUGAAAUCCCGAGGCUCAACUUCGGAAUUGCCUCUGAUACUGUUCGGCUAGAGAGUAGUUGCGGUAGGCGGAAUGUAUGGUGUAGCGGUGAAAUGCUUAGAGAUCAUACAGAACACCGAUUGCGAAGGCAGCUAACCAAGCUACUUCUGACGUUGAGGCACGAAAGCGUGGGGAGCAAACAGGAUUAGAUACCCCAGUAGUC
rnacentral:rRNA from 1 species